rnacentral:rRNA from 1 species
UACGUAGGGUGCAAGCGUUAAUCGGAAUUACUGGGCGUAAAGCGUGCGCAGGCGGCUUUGCAAGACAGAUGUGAAAUCCCCGGGCUCAACCUGGGAACUGCAUUUGUGACUGCAUGGCUGGAGUGCGGCAGAGGGGGAUGGAAUUCCGCGUGUAGCAGUGAAAUGCGUAGAUAUGCGGAGGAACACCGAUGGCGAAGGCAAUCCCCUAGGCCUGCACUGACGCUCAUGCACGAAAGCGUGGGGAGCAAACAGG